rnacentral:rRNA from 1 species
ACGAACGCUGGCGGCGUGCUUAACCCAUGCAAGUCGAACGGAAAGGCCCUGCUUUUGUGGGGUGCUCGAGUGGCGAACCGGUGAGUAACACGUGAGUAACCUGCCCUUGACUUUGGGAUUACUUCAGGAAACUGGGGCUAAUACCGGAUAGGAGCUCCUGCUGCAUGGUGGGGGUUGGAAAGUUUCGGCGGUUGGGGAUGGACUCGCGGCUUAUCAGCUUGUUGGUGGGGUAGUGGCUUACCAAGGCUUUGACGGGUAGCCGGCCUGAGAGGGUGACCGGCCACAUUGGGACUGAGAUACGGCCCAGACUCCUACGGGAGGCAGCAGUGGGGAAUAUUGCACAAUGGGCGGAAGCCUGAUGCAGCAACGCCGCGUGCGGGAUGACGGCCUUCGGGUUGUAAACCGCUUUCGCCUGUGACGAAGCGUGAGUGACGGUAAUGGGUAAAGAAGCACCGGCUAACUACGUG